GUAGGUGGCAAGCGUUGUCCGGAAUUAUUGGGCGUAAAGCGCGCGCAGGCGGUUCUUUAAGUCUGAGUGUCGAAAGCCCACGGCUCAACCGUGGAGGGUUCAUUGGAAACUGGAGAACUUGAGUACAGAAGAGGAAACGCGGAAUUUCCACGUGUAGCGGUGAAAUGCGUAGAGAUGUGGAGGAACACCAGUGGCGAAGGCGGCUUUCUGGUCUGUAACUGACGCUGAGGCGCGAAAAGCGUGGGGUAGCAAACAGGAUUAGAUACCCUGGUAGUUCCACGCCGUAAACGAUGAGUGCUAAGUGUUAGGGGGUUUCCGCCCCCCUUAGUGCUGCAGCUAACGCAUUAAGCACUCCGCCUGGGAGUACGGCCGCAAGGCUG
rnacentral:rRNA from 1 species